rnacentral:lncRNA from 1 species
CCGGUAGCCUCGGUUUUUCUGCUGCCAUUGUGGGGGCUAGCCGCAGCUGGACGGUGUCCAGUACUACAGACUGCGGCUCAAGUGGACUGGUCAGCGCUCGCAGGAAAGUUCUGGCUCGAGAUCGCCACCAACCCGCCCAUCCAGCAGUGCAUCGUGAGGGCCUACUACCCGCGACGAGCCACUAUGAUGUGGUAUCGACUCGAAGGAUACGGUGGUGUGGUAACAAAGAAGAAGCAAUACAACUUC